rnacentral:lncRNA from 1 species
AUUAGAAGACUUUGUUAUUAUACAAGUUAACUUAUAAAUAAAAUAUUAAGUGUUUAUAAAGCAUUUGAUUUUAACCACAAAUAGCUUCGCUCUCUUGUCAUUUAAGACCACAGUUAUUUCUACCAUAGAUACUAUUUGCUUUAUAGUUAUUGACAAAGCUAAUAAGCACAAAUAUAUUAUGAUAGAUUCUAACCAAAUUUCUAACAAAAAUACUUACUUUUCUAUGUACAGAUUUUUAUAUAAAUUACAACAACAACAACAACAACAACUACCCAGUAUAUUCCCACCAGGUGGGGUCUGGGGAG